AUGCAGAACUCCAUGCACCACACGCCUUUCCCUCUCCUCCCCUUUGGGGAAAGUUGGCUUCUAGGACUGGUGGGUUUUCGAGAGGUGGCGGUGCGUUUAGAGGCUUUACUAAGGUGCAAGAAGCCGGUUGACGGGCGACUUCGUAAGGCUGGUGCGGGGAGAGGAGGCCAGUUUGCAGAGUUAAAGCCUGACCCCCGGGGCCUGACGCGCCAAACUCGGGGGCUCCGGAGAAGCCGCAGACGCCUCGGCGCACCUGUUGUCGCCGUCACUCAUCCCCGCCGAGCGGGCGGGGCGGCGCGGGCCGCUUGGCCGGGAACCGCCGCGCCGCCCCGUCCGAGCUCCGGCGUCAACCUUAGACCCGCGCCCGCUGAGCACAGCCCGGCCGUCGCACAGCCGGCCAGCGAUGGAUCUACCUGCGCGCUUCCAGGGGAACACCUGAUAGAAACAGAAUGCUGCUGCUGCUGCUAAGUCGCUUCAGUCGUGUCUGACUCUGUGCGACCCCAUAGACGGCAGCCCACCAGGCUCCUCUGUCCCUGGGAUUCUCCAGGCAAGAACACUGGAGUGGGUUGCCAUUUCCUUCUCCAUUGGAUGAAAGUGAAAAGUGAAAGUGAAGUUGCUCAGUCAUGUCCGACUCUUCGCGACCCCAUGGACUGUAGCCUACCAGGCUCCUCCGUCCAUGGGAUUUACCAGGCAAGAGUACUGGAGUGGGUUGCCAUUUCCUUUUCCAGAUAGAAACAGAAUAAUCCCAGGAAAAAUUCAAGCUUUUUUCUUAGCGCACCUCAGAGAUUGCAGUGAAUACCAGGAACAUAGAUCCAGUAAACGAAAAUUGUCUGAAAAUACAGGUUGCAAGUUGUAUUUAAUGACUGUAGGUUUGAAAAUAUAAGUUUGUCCUCUGUUGGUUCCAUGUUCAAGAAAAUAUCUGUAUUGGUUAUGAUGGGGCAACAUAAUUAAAAAGCAAAACCUUCUUGCAACCCAGAAAACGUUUCCUCAAAGGUGAAAUUUACUGAAUAAGCAUGAAACUUGUGGUACCACAUUGGUACCAAUGUGUACCAAUGGACAGACAAUCCACUCAUGAGAGACUGCAAAGACAGAAAGUAAUCUUACCCCCUUAUAUAGUCAACAGGUACAACCUGUUACAUCACACACAGUUCGUCACAGCUUUACCCAAUAAUUGGAGUGACUAUCUUAUUGGCUUUAUCCAGAAGAAAAGGAAACUGCUUAUAUCUUUGUAACAGGAGGUACUUUUGCAAACUACAGCAAAGCAACCAUCAAACUUGGGCUCUUACCUUACUGAAACUGGGAGAUAGUGGAGCUGUAACCCUUGAAAUUUGAAUUUCCAAUUCACAGCUCAGAAAUGUACUUGAGGAAACAUUUCUGAGUUGUGAGACUGGCAAGAGACUUAUUUAGCUAUGAAACAGAUUUACAUAUGUUUGGAAAGCAUGGAGAAAGAAAUUCUGAAAGAAAAAAG
rnacentral:lncRNA from 1 species